CCUACGGGUGGCAGCAGUGAGGAAUAAUGGUCAAUGGACGAAAGUCUGAACCAGCGAUGCCGCGUGCAGGAAGAAGGCUCUAUGAGUUGUAAACUGCUUUUAUAUGGGGGUAAAAGAAGAAACGAGUAUCAGUAUGAAAGUAUAGUACGAACUAGGAUCGGCUAACUCCGUGCCAGCAGCCGCGGUAAUACGGAGGAUUCAAGAGUUAUCCGGAUUUACUGGGUGUAAAGGGUGCGUAGGGGGUUGGAUAAGUGAGGGGUGAAAGGCCGUGGCUCAACUCGGGAAUUGCAGCUGAUACUGUACGACUAGAGUGAAGGAGCGGUAAGCGGAAUGUAUGGUGUAGCGGUGAAAUGCGUAGAUAUCACACAGAACACCGAUUGCGAAGGCAGCUUACUAGACUACAACUGACGUUGAGGCACGAAGGCGUGGGGAGCAAACAGGAUUAGAUACCCUUGUAGUC
rnacentral:rRNA from 1 species